GAUUAUUAUUUAUUUUUUUACGGUGUGUCAAUUGACUCUAUGGGGAUAUAUUACUUAAAGAUAGUAACAGUAGACUACUCCCUGCUGGGCCACCAGGUUGAUCUACUGUAGUGAGUCUCUACUAGUAGUAACAGUAGACUACUCCCUGCUGGGUCACCAGGUUGAUCUACUGUAGUGAGUCUCUACUAGUAGUAACAGUAGACUACUCCCUGCUGGGUCACCAGGUUGAUCUACUGUAGUGAGUCUCUACUAGUAGUAACAGUACACUACUCCCUGCUGGGUCACCAGGUUGAUCUACUGUAUUAGGUCUCUACUAGUAGUAACAGUAGACUACUCCCUGCUGGGUCACCAGGUUGAUCUACUGUAGUGAGUCUCUACUAGUAGUAACAGUAGACUACUCCCUGCUGGGCCACCAGGUUGAUCUACUGUAGUGAGUCUCUACUAGUAGUAACAGUAGACUACUCCCUGCUGGGCCACCAGGUUGAUCUACUGUAGUGAGUCUCUACUAGUAGUAACAGUAGACUACUCCCUGCUGGGCCACCAGGUUGAUCUACUGUAGUGAGUCUCUACUAGUAGUAACAGUAGACUACUCCCUGCUGGGCCACCAGGUUGAUCUACUGUAGUGAGUCUCUACUAGUAGUAACAGUAGACUACUCCCUGCUGGGCCACCAGGUUGAUCUACUGUAGUGAGUCUCUACUAGUAGUAACAGUAGACUACUCCCUGCUGGGCCACCAGGUUGAUCUACUGUAGUGAGUCUCUACUAGUAGUAACAGUAGACUACUCCCUGCUGGGCCACCAGGUUGAUCUACUGUAGUGAGUCUCUACUAGUAGUAACAGUAGACUACUCCCUGCUGGGCCACCAGGUUGAUCUACUGUAGUAGUGAGUCUCUACUAGUAGUAACAUUAGACUACUCCCUGCUGGGCCACCAGGUUGAUCUACUGUAGUGAGUCUCUACUAGUCGUAACAGUAGACUACUCCCUGCUGGGCCACCAGGUUGAUCUACUGUAGUGAGUCUCUACUAGUAGUAACAGUAGACUACUCCCUGCUGGGCCACCAGGUUGAUCUACUGUAGUGAGUCUCUACUAGUAGUAGUGUCAUGCAUGCAGGGGGGCAGAGGAGAAGAAAAGUUGUUUAUUGUUAUUAGAUCAAUAUUCAGAUAUAAUUGAUAUUAACCACAAAAUUCUUCCCAAAACUCAUGAAUUGCCUUGUGUAUGGCGUCCUUGGUUAACCUCAGUGAAAGGCAGAGAGAUGUCUGAGGUGUGUAUC